UGAAGCUUCGGCAGAUUUAGCUGGUUUCUAGUGGCGGACGGGUGAGUAACGCGUGGGUAACCUGCCUUAUACAGGGGGAUAACAACCAGAAAUGGUUGCUAAUACCGCAUAAGCGCACAGGACCGCAUGGUCCGGUGUGAAAAACUCCGGUGGUAUAAGAUGGACCCGCGUUGGAUUAGCUAGUUGGCAGGGUAACGGCCUACCAAGGCGACGAUCCAUAGCCGGCCUGAGAGGGUGAACGGCCACAUUGGGACUGAGACACGGCCCAGACUCCUACGGGAGGCAGCAGUGGGGAAUAUUGCACAAUGGGGGAAACCCUGAUGCAGCGACGCCGCGUGAAGGAAGAAGUAUCUCGGUAUGUAAACUUCUAUCAGCAGGGAAGAUAGUGACGGUACCUGACUAAGAAGCCCCGGCUAACUACGUGCCAGCAGCCGCGGUAAUACGUAGGGGGCAAGCGUUAUCCGGAUUUACUGGGUGUAAAGGGAGCGUAGACGGACUGGCAAGUCUGAUGUGAAAGGCGAGGGCUCAACCCCUGGACUGCAUUGGAAACUGUUAGUCUUGAGUGCCGGAGAGGUAAGCGGAAUUCCUAGUGUAGCGGUGAAAUGCGUAGAUAUUAGGAGGAACACCAGUGGCGAAGGCGGCUUACUGGA
rnacentral:rRNA from 1 species